rnacentral:tRNA from 1 species
GUGGUUGUGGCUCAGUGGUAGAGCACUUAUUAAGCAUGUGUGAGGUUCUGGGUUUGAUCCUCAGCACCACA